rnacentral:rRNA from 1 species
GAUGAACGCUGGCGGCGUGCCUAAUACAUGCAAGUCGAGCGAACAGACGAGAAGCUUGCUUCUCUGAUGUUAGCGGCGGACGGGUGAGUAACACGUGGAUAACCUACCUAUAAGACUGGGAUAACUUCGGGAAACCGGAGCUAAUACCGGAUAAUAUUUUGAACCGCAUGGUUCAAUAGUGAAAGACGGUCUUGCUGUCACUUAUAGAUGGAUCCGCGCUGCAUUAGCUAGUUGGUAAGGUAACGGCUUACCAAGGCAACGAUGCAUAGCCGACCUGAGAGGGUGAUCGGCCACACUGGAACUGAGACACGGUCCAGACUCCUACGGGAGGCAGCAGUAGGGAAUCUUCCGCAAUGGGCGAAAGCCUGACGGAGCAACGCCGCGUGAGUGAUGAAGGUCUUCGGAUCGUAAAACUCUGUUAUUAGGGAAGAACAUAUGUGUAAGUAACUAUGCACAUCUUGACGGUACCUAAUCAGAAAGCCACGGCUAACUACGUG